GAGAGAGCCAAGUUCAGGACAUUGGGCCACCAGAGACCUCCUGACCCCACAUGAUAUCAAUUGGAGGCAGAACAUCAUCUUCCCCUGCUCAGGACCUUCUUUGACUGCCAAGAGUGCUUUUCACCACUGCAAGAGACGUCUGCGUAAGAAAUUUAACAUCUGUGCUUCUGAAGGACAUCGUUUCUGGGAUACCCAAGAGCAAACCACGAUGCACAGAACACUAACCUGGUUGCAAAACAAGAUUGGAUACUGUUUGACAUUGCCUG